UGUGUAUUAAAUGCACGACCAACAGAUCGAGGAAGGUGAUGUUCCCCCUCUUUUUGGCAUUGGUCAGGCCACAGUUGGAGUACUAGUUUUGGGCGCAGCACUUCAAGAGGGACACGGAGAAUCUGGAGAGGUUUCAGAGGAGGGCCACUCUCAUGAUUAAUGACCUCCGUGAAAGACCCCAUGAGGGGAGGUCUGGAUCUCUAUAGCCUUCACAAGAGACAGCUGAGGGGAGAUCUUAUAGACGCCUAUAAGUUUAUCAAGGGGGGACAACGGGGAAUUGGAGAAGCUCUAUUUACCAGAGCCCCCCUA